rnacentral:rRNA from 1 species
CCCUUAGAUGUCCUGGGCCGCACGCGCGCUACACUGACAAAGGCAACGAGCUACUCUUCACCGAAAGGUGUGGGUAAUCUUUUGAAACUUUGUCGUGCUGGGGAUAGAUCCUUGCAAUUUUUGAUCUUAAACGAGGAAUUCCUAGUAAGCGCAAGUCAUCAACUUGCGUUGAUUACGUCCCUGCCCUUUGUACACACCGCCCGUCGCUACUACCGAUUGAAUGGUUUAGUGAGGCCUUCGGAUCCGCGACUCGUUUGUGGAGAAGUUGGACAAACUCAGUCAUUUAGAGGAAGUAAAAGUCGUAACA